GAAAUACGAUAAGGUAGCGGCGAGACGACCCGUUUAUAUAGGUCUCAAGUGGAAGUGCAGUGAUGUAUGCAGCUGAGGCAUCCUAACGAACGAAGAUUUGAAC
rnacentral:rRNA from 1 species